GAUGAAGAACGCAACGAAAUGCGAUAAGUAGUGUGAAUUGCAGAAUUCAGUGAAUCAUCGAAUCUUUGAACGCACAUUGCGCCCCUUGGUAUCCCGAGGGGCAUGCCUGUUCGAGCGUCAUUUCACCACUCAAGCCUGGCUUGGUGUUGGGCGACGUCCCCUUUGGGGACGCGCCUCGAAACGCUCGGCGGCGUGGCACCGGCUUUAAGCGUAGCAGAAUCUUUCGCUUUGGAAGUCGGGGCCCCGUCUGCCGGAAGACCUACUCGCAAGGUUGACCUCGGAUCAGGCAGGGAUACCCGCUGAACUUAAGCAUAUCAAUAAGCGGAGGA
rnacentral:misc_RNA from 1 species